CCUACGUGUGGCAGCAGUGAGGAAUAUUGGUCAAUGGGCGCAAGCCUGAACCAGCCAAGUAGCGUGCGGGAUGAAGGCCCUAUGGGUCGUAAACCGCUUUUUCACGGGGAUAACCGGCGGGUCGAGACCCGCCCUGCAGGUACCGUGCGAAUAAGGACCGGCUAAUUCCGUGCCAGCAGCCGCGGUAAUACGGAAGGUCCUGGCGUUAUCCGGAUUUAUUGGGUUUAAAGGGAGCGCAGGCCGCCCCUUAAGCGUGUUGUGAAAACCGGGCGCCCAACGCCCGGCGUGCAGCGCGAACUGGGGGGCUUGAGUGCGAGCGACGCCGGCGGAAUUCGUCGUGUAGCGGUGAAAUGCUUAGAUAUGACGAGGAACCCCGAUUGCGAAGGCAGCCGGCGAGGGCGCAACUGACGCUGAUGCUCGAAGGCGCGGGUAUCGAACAGGAUUAGAUACCCUGGUAGUC
rnacentral:rRNA from 1 species